UUUCUCCUCCAACAAUUGACGCCACUUCUCUGCCGACAUCAUCUCCUAUUUCAAACCCUAAACUAUCAAUUUUCUUUCUGAUUCUUAACCCUAAACUAUCAUUCUGGCCGUUUCACUUCGUUUCGCAAAGAAGAUAUCAAUUGUUCAUCCCCGCAAACCCUAAUCGCAUCAACAACUAUCAAGCAUGAGCAUAAUCUGGUGUAAAUAUUUGAUUCUUGCUUCCAAUUUAUGAUUCUCUGUGUGUUUCUUCAACUUCUAAGUUUUUUUCAAAGCUUUUUUUUUUCUGAGUUUCAAACCCUACAUCAUUUGUUCUGAGCAUAAUCCGGUGUAAAUCUUUGAUUCUUCACUCGCAAUAUGGAAUAUUGUAGGUUAUGUGGUGGGUCGGAUCCAAAAACUGGGAAAAAAUGCCAUAGCCGCCGCCUCCAACAUGACGGCUAGGGUUCUGAUGAGUUGAAUCUGGUGAAGCAUAUCCACAAGUCAUAUGCCAUCUGUUUUGGGAGGGAAUCAUUCUAAAUACUCUUUUGGAUGCGGGAUCCAUUUGUUAUUCGGGUUGAAAUCCUGAAUUCGGGUCAAGCAUGACGGAUGAAAUGUGUUUUGAAAUGUGAUGUAUGUUUGUAUGGUUGGUUAGACCCGGAAGCACCUUGUGAGAUUGCUCCAAACGUUGUUGUUGGUGUUGCGGAACCUGUUGUAAAUGGUGUUCGUUAUAAGGAUAUUGCUAUGGAGGGAGGAAGUGCUAAUAGAAUAACUUGAGUUGAAGAAGAAGGAAACACAACUCCCGAACCUGAUAGGAUACUAUUUCUGCAUUUUUAUACAUGGAAAGAAUAUUUUUAUAAUGCAAACUAAUUAACAUUCUUUGUGAAGGUUAUCUUCUUUCAGUAUGUUUGGCUUGUAAUCAGUUUAAUAUGUUAAUUUUACACAGGUACAAGUGGGUCGUUCUCUUUUUUAUAAGACAAAAAGGAAGUUGGGUAAGGGUGGUUUUGGGUAGGUUUAUGUUGGCAGGACGGUGACAGGUAGCAGUGGUAGAACGGGACUUGAUGCAACCGAGGUAGCAUUGAAGUUUGAGCAUUGUAAUAGUAAAGGUUGUAACUACGGGCCUCCUUAUGAGUGGCAAGUAUACAUUUCAUUGAAUGGAUGCUAUGGUAUUCCAUGGGUCCACUACAAGGGCCGACAAGGUCAUGGAUAUGCUCAGACCGAGUGUUUGGGAUGUUUGGAGUUCAUUCGGCCAAUCGUUAGACGAACAAAUAUGCUAGCUUGCUUUGCAAUCGAGGCCAUAUCAAUUGUUGAAAAGCUUCACUCAAAGGGUUUUGAGUUGUUAGGAAUGCACCGUAACGUGCAACAUCGAGUGGAUUUCAUGGAAUAGGCACCAGGUGCGCGCUACUGUGCAAUUGUCGGGGAUUUCAAGGAUUGGUCUCCGACUAAAAAUUGUGCAAGAGAGGGGCAUACGGGCACGAUGAUUACGGGUAUUGGUUCGUGAUACUUGAAGAUAAGUUAAGAGACGGUGAAGAACCAGAUGAACUCUUUUUUCAACAGUAUAAUUAUGUCUUACGAUAAGGGUGAUAGUGGUGUCACUGCUGACGAAGUUUUCCAAAAAGCAAACGAUGAGUAUUCGGAGCCCGGAAAAGAUCGGUUUGUAAAGUUAUGCUUUCAAAUUAUUCCUAAAUUAUACGAGCAAAUGUUCAGGCUAAAAGGGCUCCUAUUGCUUACUGGUUUGAGACCCGUAAAGGAAGAAAAGCGUGGUUAAAGAAGUACGCACCUGCUAUUCCUCACGGAAGCAAGUAUAGAGUGUAUUUUAACACUCCUAAUGGGCCCUUGGAACGGAUUCACGCUUGGGCUACUUAUGUGAAUUCUGGUUCAUGUGAUGCAGGGUGGAAGCGUGCUGGAUAUGUAAGAUAAGAAAUAAUAUAUUUCAAAGAUUUGUGAAUUUGUAGGUAGCACUUCCACUGGAGACAACUACAUGAAUGAUUUAAAGAUUUUGGAGUAGAUGUUGUAUAAGAAUAAAAAGACUAGGCUCAACAACCAUCCACAUUCCAGGAGGUAACUGAACUAGACGGGAUAACAACGUUGUUAUCCAUCUUACCAGACAGAUUUGGCAUCGACCUAUGGGUCUGGAGUUCGGAUGCAUCUGGUGUAUUUUUGCUAAAGAACUUCAAACAAAAAAAUGAAUUCAACAUCUUCUUCGGAGCAUGGCACGGUCUUUGAAUGGAACAAUUGGGUAUCACUUAAAGUCAUUUUUAGCGUGGAGGUUGGGGUUGGAUCACUUGCCUAUGAGUACAAAUCCGGCAAGACGAAGUGUUAGUAUUGGGUCUAAUAUGUGCAGCUUUUGUGGAGCAUAUGAGGAGUCUGCAGAACAUCUUUUAGUAUCAUGUGGGAUGAUGCAAAUUAUCUGGGACUUUAUUAAUACUUGGUACAUGCUUUAUGGCUUCUUUUUCUUUGAAUUCGAGGACCAGUUGAAGUUUUAUAAGAAGCGAGAGGCUCUGUGAAGUGGAGAAAGGUUGUCUACUCCAUUAUUCUAACGGUCGUGUGGUGCAUUUGGCGAAGUCAAAACAGUAUUAUCUUCAACCGUAAACAACCAAAGGUGGAGAGUUUAAAGUAGGAAAUUAGAGUUUUGGCGUACCUAUGGGUUAAACAUCAGUCAAAAUCCGUUGGUUUAUCUUAGGAAAAUUGGCGAAAUUUCGUGUUAAUUUUUUGGGUCUAUGUAGUUUGUUGUCUGGUUGUUUUUGGAUGUGGAUUAGCACAAUGAUAAUCUAUUUUUUUAAUAAAAU